rnacentral:lncRNA from 1 species
GGAAACAGAGCUAGCAUUACCUAUGGUUGGGUCUAAGCACUUGGAGUCAUUCCUUACUUCUUGUGUAAAUUGUUCCCAUGAUAGUGGCUGCUUUUGCAACAUCCUUGACCUGUUAAGAUGCAUGCUCUAGGAGGUAUUAAGGAGAGGUUGUUGAGGAGAUGAUUGUGGCCUGUCAUAUUUCACACAACAUGAAGAAGGAACACACACUAAAAAUGGACCAUGGAGCUGGUGCUUAUGAGCUGUCCCAAGAACUGGCCAACCCACUUGAAGUGUAUGUGUCCCCGUGUCUCCUCUUAGCUGCAGCUCCAGAGCCCUAAGAGAAAGAUGAUGAGGCAAAAGCAGGAAAAAUGAGGGCUCCUUUUUCACAAUCCAGCUUGAUCUUCGGAGAUAUCAGUGAGAUAAAAACAGCAGCAUCUUCCAACUUGUUUACUAGCUGAAUAUCAUAUAGACACCUUUGGGAAGUGCCAACUUUUUGACUCAAGCUGCUCUUCAGUGAAUAAGGAGAAUCCUCAGAGGUCCAUCCAGAGGACUUGUGCUUUGAUAAUCUACUCUGCUGUGUUCCCCCAUCUUCCCUUCCCUCUGUAAUCAGACCAUCGGUCACUACAAAGGAUCAAAAUUGCCACGUUUAAAUACUAUUCUCCUUGUGAGAAACUAACAUAUGAUCAAAGCUUAACAGCAUGAAAUGCAUUUCUUGUUUUUGCAGUAAACCUUCAUGUCCCUUGUUGUUGAUCCAAGUUCAUGGAGGUUUAUUUUCAAAGCAAAUCUCUUGUUUUCGUUCCACCGGAGAGCUGUUACAAAGCCAACUAUUGUUACUGUAGAAUAUAACUAUAUUUUUUUUAGUCUAACUGUUUGAAGCAAAUGGCUUUCAUCAGGUAAAAAGUCAUUGUAUAUAUGCAUUAUACAGACAAGUCUUGGACACAACAAACAGU